GACGAACGCUGGCGGCGUGCCUAACACAUGCAAGUCGAGCGAAUGAAGUUCCUUCGGGAACGGAUUUAGCGGCGGACGGGUGAGUAACACGUGGGCAACCUGCCUCAUAGAGGGGAAUAGCCUUCCGAAAGGAAGAUUAAUACCGCAUAAGAUUGUAGCUCCGCAUGAAGCAGCAAUUAAAGGAGCAAUCCGCUAUGAGAUGGGCCCGCGGCGCAUUAGCUAGUUGGUGAGGUAACGGCUCACCAAGGCGACGAUGCGUAGCCGACCUGAGAGGGUGAUCGGCCACAUUGGGACUGAGACACGGCCCAGACUCCUACGGGAGGCUG
rnacentral:rRNA from 1 species